rnacentral:tRNA from 1 species
GGAGAAAUGACCGAGUGGUUGAAGGUAGUGCAUUGCUAAUGCGCCGUAGGGGAAACCUUACCGAGGGUUCGAAUCCCUCUUUCUCCG